GGGGAAUUUUCCGCAAUGGGCGAAAGCCUGACGGAGCAAUACCGCGUGAGGGAGGAAGGCUCUUGGGUUGUAAACCUCUUUUCUCAAGGAAGAAUAAUGACGGUACCUGAGGAAUAAGCAUCGGCUAACUCCGUGCCAGCAGCCGCGGUAAUACGGAGGAUGCAAGCGUUAUCCGGAAUGAUUGGGCGUAAAGCGUCCGCAGGUGGCAAUGAAAGUCUGCUGUUAANNAGUCUGGCUCAACCAGAUAAGGGCAGUGGAAACUACAUUCGCUAGAGUGCGUUCGGGGUAGAGGGAAUUCCUGGUGUAGCGGUGAAAUGCGUAGAGAUCAGGAAGAACACCGGUGGCGAAGGCGCUCUACUAGGCCGCAACUGACACUGAGGGACGAAAGCUAGGGGAGCGAAUGGGAUUAGAUACCCCAGUAGUC
rnacentral:rRNA from 1 species